rnacentral:tRNA from 1 species
UGGCACCAUCGACAAGAGGUCAAAGUCACCAUCCUUUCAAGGUGGUAAUCGCUCGGUUCGAAUCCGGCUGGUGUCAU